UACAGAGGGUGCGAGCGUUGUUCGGAAUUAUUGGGCGUAAAGCGCGUGUAGGCGGGUUGUUAAGUCCGCUGUGAAAGCCCGGUGCUCAACGCCGGAGGGUCGGUGGAUACUGGCAGUCUUGAAGUGGCUAGGGGGAAAUGGAAUUACCGGUGUAGCGGUGAAAUGCGUAGAUAUCGGUAGGAACACCAGUGGCGAAGGCGGUUUCCUGGAGCCCACUUGACGCUGAGACGCGAAAGCUGGGGGAGCAAACGGGG
rnacentral:rRNA from 1 species